rnacentral:rRNA from 1 species
AACGAGAAAGUGGAGCAAUCCUGAGUACAGUGGCGUACGGGUGAGUAACACGUGGGUAAUCUACCUUUUGGUGGGGAAUAACCCUGGGAAACCGGGGCUAAUACCGCAUAAGUCCGCAAGGAGAAAGUCGAAAGACGCCGAUAGAGGAGCCCGCGGCCGAUUAGCUUGUUGGCAGGGUAAAGGCCUACCAAGGCUAUGAUCGGUAGCCGGCCUGAGAGGGCACACGGCCACACUGGCACUGAAACACGGGCCAGACUCCUACGGGAGGCAGCAGUGGGGAAUCUUGCACAAUGGGGGCAACCCUGAUGCAGCGACGCCGCGUGAGUGAUGAAGCCCUUCGGGGUGUAAAGCUCUUUCGACAGGAACGAUAAUGACGGUACCUGGAGAAGAAGCUGCGGCUAACUACGUGCCAGCAGCCGCGGUAAUACGUA